CCAAUAGCGUAUAUUAAAGUUGCUGCAGUUAAAAAGCUCGUAGUUGAAUUUCGGGACCAAUAUGUCGGUCGUGCCUCGGUACGUACUGGCAUCGUUGGUUUCUCCCUUCUGACAAACCAUGAUGUCAUUUAUUUGGUGUCGUGGGGAAUCAGGACUGUUACUUUGAAAAAAUUAGAGUGUUUAAAGCAGGCUCACGCUUGAAUACAUUAGCAUGGAAUAAUGAAAUAGGACGUUUGAUUCUAUUUUGUUGGUUUCUAGGAUCGACGUAAUGAUUAAUAGGGAUAGUUGGGGGCAUUAGUAUUCAAUUGUCAGAGGUGAAAUUCUUGGAUUUAUUGAAGACUAACUACUGCGAAAGCAUUUGCCAAGGAUGUUUUCAUUAAUCAAGAACGAAAGUUAGGGGAUCGAAGACGAUCAGAUACCGUCGUAGUCUUAACCAUAAACUAUGCCGACUAGGGAUCGGAUGAUGUUAAUUUUUUAAUGACUCAUUCGGCGCCUUACG
rnacentral:rRNA from 1 species